UACAGAGGGUGCGAGCGUUAAUCGGAAUUACUGGGCGUAAAGCGUGCGUAGACGGCUAUCUAAGUCGGGUGUGAAAGCCCCGGGCUCAACCUGGGAAUUGCAUUCGAGACUGAAUAGCUAGGGUACGGUAGAGGGAAGUGGAAUUUCCGGUGUAGCGGUGAAAUGCGUAGAUAUUGGAAGGAACAUCAGUGGCGAAAGCGACUUCCUGGACCAGUACCGACGUUCAGGCACGAAAGCGUGGGGAGCAAACAGG
rnacentral:rRNA from 1 species